GCCAGAUGUUAGCCUCUGGCGACUAACCCCAGCUGGUGCGGAGCGGAGAACUUUGGAAAAGGGGCAGGUUGGGGAUGCCAGGUGGUUUUUAGCCUAUCUGCAGCAACAUUCUGUUCCUUACCAAGGGUAGAUUGCAACCCAAAGAGCAGCAAGGGAGGGCCUGAGAGGCCGGCUAUUUAGUGAUAAAGACCUCUCCCCCUCGCCCAGACUCAUUCCCUUGUAGCAUGGCCAGAAGCCUGAUCUGCCCCUCUUCUGUAGUUACAACUAUUUGCACCACAAUUCCCAUCUGGAUUAACCAAACUUGCUCCAGUCAGGCCUAGGCCAAGUACAUUCAUAGGUUUUUUUCUAGGUGUCUUUCUGACUCCCCAACAGGCAGCCCACCCAGGUUUCCCCCUCCCUAGCCUCUGCAUCCUACACCUUCCCAUUCAAGCGUAUUCAAAAUCCAGGUUCCACCUGUGGCCUCUGCCGCAACGCCACUCUAGCUCUACCAAAGUCACUCCUGCCCCCAAGCUGCCACAGUUAAAAUCUGGAGCCAGGGAGUUUUAACUUUCUGCAGAAGGCUGAAAGCUGAGCUUGUUCAAUGGCCAGGGCAAAGUUUUGUCUGAAACUUAUUUCUGCACAGACUCUCCAGUCAGUUCCAAUUGUGCACAAGAUAGGUUCCCUGAUGAAGCGGCAAAGGGAACAUAUAAUUAUUUAAACUCUACUAGAAGGCUUGUUUCUACCUAGAGUGAGGAGUCUUUCCAAUUUACUUCUACCCCAGCACUGUCAUUUUAGCUAUCAUUUCAGUCUUCUCCUGUUUGAAUUCUCCUGUUUGGAUUCCGACAUUCUCAAGUAAGACUACCUGGACUUUGAAUCUCUAUACCUACUUCAUGUUUGCAUUCUAAAAGGUGUAUAAAGCCCAUUUUCUGCCACCAUUUAUGGAUAACUGUAAUUCCUGACACAGACAUCUGGAAAGAAAAACAAGUUACUACCUCUGCAAAGUUUUCCAACUGCUUUUUAAAAUAUUAAAGAAGGUUGACCUCUUCCAGUUUAAUCUAAGGCUGAUUGUCAGAGAUAGUCACAUUGAAUUAUUUUACUAAACAAAUGUAUUUUAAAGACACAACUGGUCUUUUAAAAACUCAAAUCCCAAUAAGCAUUUCCUAUGUGCCAUGAUGCUUACUCUUUCUUGUCUGAUUAUAGUUAUGUAUUUAUCACCUUAAACCCAAAGACCUCUUGAACAGCAUAUACUCUAUCACGUGUUUUGUAGAUCCUGAAAGCUAC
rnacentral:lncRNA from 1 species